rnacentral:rRNA from 1 species
AGUGAACGCUGGCGGUAGGCCUAACACAUGCCAGUCGAACGGCAGCACAGUAAGAGCUUGCUCUUACGGGUGGCGAGUGGCGGACGGGUGAGGAAUACAUCGGAAUCUACUUUUUCGUGGGGGAUAACGUAGGGAAACUUACGCUAAUACCGCAUACGACCUACGGGUGAAAGCAGGGGAUCUUCGGACCUUGCGCGAUUGAAUGAGCCGAUGUCGGAUUAGCUAGUUGGCGGGGUAAAGGCCCACCAAGGCGACGAUCCGUAGCUGGUCUGAGAGGAUGAUCAGCCACACUGGAACUUAGACACGGUCCAGACUCCUACGGGAGGCAGCAGUGGGGAAUAUUGGACAAUGGGCGGAAGCCUGAUCCAGGCAUACCGCGUGGGUGAAGAAGGCCUUCGGGUUGUAAAGCCCUUUUGUUGGGAAAGAAAAGCAGCAGGUUAAUACCCCGCUGUUCUGACGGUACCCAAAGAAUAAGCACCGGCUAACCUCGUG